rnacentral:rRNA from 1 species
CACUCCUACGGGAGGCAGCAGUGGGGAAUUUUACGCAAUGGGGGAAACCCUGACGUAGCGACACCGCGUGAGCGAAGAAGCCCUUUGGGGUGUAAAGCUCUGUCAGCUGGAACGAAAACAAUGACGGUACCAGCAGAGGAAGCAUCGGCUAACUACGUGCCAGCAGCCGCGGUAAGACGUAGGAUGCGAGCGUUGUCCGGAUUUAUUGGGCGUAAAGAGUUCGUAGGUGGUUUGUUAAGUUUGGUGUUAAAGAUCGGGGCUCAACCCUGGGACUGCACUGAAUACUGGCAGACUCGAGUGUGGUAGAGGCUAGUGGAAUUCCCAGUGUAGCGGUGAAAUGCGUAGAUAUUGGGAAGAACACCGGUGGCGUAGGCGACUAGCUGGGCCAUAACUGACGCUGAGGAACGAAAGCCAGGGGAGCGAAUGGGAUUAGAUACCCCUGUAGUCCCAUG